rnacentral:rRNA from 1 species
GUCUAUGGCUAUGCCAACCCGAACAAGCCCGACGUCUGACCUCGGAAGCUGAGCAGGGUCGGGCCUCGUUAGUACUUGGAUGGGAGACCACCUAGGAAGACCAGGUGCUCUAGGCA